rnacentral:rRNA from 1 species
CACCAGCGCCUCGAGUGGGGAUCGCGAUUAUUGGGCCUAAAGCGUCCGUAGCAGGCUUUGUAGAUCCUUUGUGAAAUGGGCAGGCCUAACCUGUCCGCGUGCAGAGGAGACCGCAGAGCUUGAGACCGGGAGAGGUCAGAAGUAUUCCUAGGGUACCGGUAAAAUGGGUUAAUCCUGGGAGGACUACCAAUGGCGAAGGCAUCUGACCAGAACGGUUCUGACUGUGAGGGACGAAAGCUAGGGGAGCAAAACGG